rnacentral:rRNA from 1 species
CUACGGGUUGCAGCAGUGAGGAAUAUUGGUCAAUGGGAGCGAGCCUGAACCAGCCAUCCCGCGUGCAGGAUGACGGCCCUAUGGGUUGUAAACUGCUUUUCUAUGCCAAGAAACCUGAUUACGUGUAAUCAGUUGCCGGUAGCAUAGGAAUAAGCAUCGGCUAACUCCGUGCCAGCAGCCGCGGUAAUACGGAGGAUGCAAGCGUUAUCCGGACUCAUUGGGUUUAAAGGGUGCGCAGGUGGGCUUGUAAGUCAGUGGUGAAAUGCUGCCGCUUAACGGUAGAACUGCCAUUGAUACUGGGAGUCUUGAGUAUGGUUGAGGUAGGCGGAAUGUGUUGUGUAGCGGUGAAAUGCAUAGAUAUGACACAGAACGCCAAUUGCGAAGGCAGCUUACUAAGCCAUUACUGACGCUGAGGCACGAAAGCGUGGGGAGCGAACAGGAUUAGAUACCCCGGUAGUC